rnacentral:rRNA from 1 species
AUGGUCUCGUCUUGCCUCGCCUCGCCGGCCACUGCGCGCGGCGGCUCUGCUCUACGUCUGCAGCUUCAGCCGAGGGGGUGCCGCGUGACGUGCUUGGCCGACGCGGGGGGAGCCGGGAGCGGCGGCCGCGCCAAGGCCGUGGGAGGAUUCGCGUGCGGCUUGCUCGCAGCCUGGGCCGUCGCGUCAGCCCCCAGCCCGGUCAUCGCCGCUGGCCAGAGGUUGCCUCCACUGUCAACAGACCCAAAGAGAUGCGAGGCUGCAUUUGUUGGGAACACAAUUGGUCAGGCAAAUGGGGUGUAUGACAAGGUGCUUGAUCUCCGGUUCUGUGAUUUCACAAAUGACAAAGAUAAUCUUAAAGGCAAGACUCUGUCUGCGGCUUUGAUGUCAGGCGCAAAGUUUGAUGGUGCUGACUUGACAGAAGUUGUCAUGUCCAAGGCCUAUGCUGUUGGUGCAAGUUUCAAAGGCACGAACUUCACGAAUGCAGUGAUAGACCGUGCCAAUUUUGGAAAAGCCGACCUCGAAGGUGCAAUCUUCAAGAACACCGUCUUGUCGGGAUCAACCUUCGAUGAAGCUAAUAUGAAGGACGUCGAUUUCGAGGACACACUCAUUGGCUACAUUGACCUUCAGAAGCUUUGCAGAAACACCAGCAUCAAUGAAGACACAAGAUUGGAGCUGGGAUGCAGAUGA